UACGGAGGGUGCAAGCGUUAUCCGGAUUCACUGGGUUUAAAGGGUGCGUAGGUGGGCUAGUAAGUCCGUGGUGAAAUCUCCAAGCUUAACUUGGAAACUGCCGUGGAUACUAUUAGUCUUGAAUAUUGUGAAGGUAAGCGGAAUAUGUCAUGUAGCGGUGAAAUGCUUAGAUAUGACAUAGAACACCCAUUGCGAAGGCAGCUCACUACGGGAAUAUUGACACUGAGGCACGAAAGCGUGGGGAUCAAACAGG
rnacentral:rRNA from 1 species